UCAGAGACUGCUACAGGAAGUGACUGAUCAAGCCCUGCCUAUAAAGGAAGCAGGAAGUGGAGGGUUCCUUCUUUAAUCUUCAAGGCUGCACAGAGCAGGCAGCAACAGAAAUUUUUCACUCCUUAUUCAAUGUGGUGAAUAAGUCAAAAGAGUAACUAACAUCCUGACUCACUCCAUACGUGCACCAUACAUGUGGAGGACUGCACACACACCUGUGGAGGAUGUAGAGGACCAUCUCUUUGCUUCCUGCACUGGCAGCGUGAUGACGUCAACUGCAGCCGGACGAGUCGAGUGAGGUGAGGGGCAGCCUGACCAAAACAAGAUGAAGAGCUGUUAGCAUGUCUGCUACACCAUGCUGCCUCACUUCCUUCAACAUUUGGUGUUUCCUCGCUCUGAAGAGAAGGAUCUGUGCUGCAGCUGGAAGGAGUUUCUUUAGAUUAAAGUUUACUUGUUAGCUGUUUUAGUUUUCUUUCAGCUAUAGAUUUAGUUUAAAGUCUGUUUUCUUUAAUCUUUAUGUGGUUU